rnacentral:rRNA from 1 species
AGGACGAACGCUGGCGGCGUGCUUAACACAUGCAAGUCGAGCGGAAAGGCCUUUCGGGGUACUCGAGCGGCGAACGGGUGAGUAACACGUGAGUAAUCUGCCCAUCGCUUCAGGAUAGCCAUCGGAAACGGUGAUUAAUACUGGAUAUGACAUUCCUUCGCAUGUUGGGGUGUGGUAAAGUUUUUUCGGCGGUGGAUGUGCUCGCGGCCUAUCAGUCUUGUUGGUGGGUAAUGGCUACCGAAGGUCUUUGGACGGGUAGCCGGCCGUGGAGAGGGUUCGACCGGCCACACGUGGGACUAGGAGACGACGGCCCAG